UACGAAGGGGGCUAGCGUUGCUCGGAAUCACUGGGCGUAAAGCGCACGUAGGCGGAUUGUUAAGUCGGGGGUGAAAUCCUGGAGCUCAACCCCAGAACUGCCUUCGAUACUGGCGAUCUUGAGUCCGGGAGAGGUGAGUGGAACUCCGAGUGUAGAGGUGAAAUUCGUAGAUAUUCGGAAGAACACCAGUGGCGAAGGCGGCUCACUGGCCCGGUACUGACGCUGAGGUGCGAAAGCGUGGGGAGCAAACAGG
rnacentral:rRNA from 1 species